GUUUAUAUAGUUUUAAAAAUAUUAGACUGUGGCUCUAAAGAUAGGAGUUAAAAUCUCCUUAUAAACC
rnacentral:tRNA from 1 species